rnacentral:lncRNA from 1 species
UGGAAGUGGAUUAUGAUCUACCCCUCAGGCUUCUCCUGCUAUCUCCUGGCUGCAUACAUACGAACAGACUUGAAAUGGACUCCUUUCACAUCUCUGCUUGUUGAAGCCCUUCAAGGACCAACUCAGAGAAAUUAUUUCAGGUAUAGAAUCAGAAGCUGGAGAGAAGUUUGUCGCUGGAAUCAAGGUAUCACGUUGUUCAAGGCCCUCCUUCGAAGUCCAGCUUCAUGGCAGGUGGUGUUGAUGUGUCUUGUUGAAGCCCAGGAAGCUCACCUCCCUGUAGAAAGGAGCCGGUCUAGAGAAGACCAGCCAACAGGCAGAAAUUGGGAGUUUGAAGUGAAUAUGGUACCUGUAGUGAAGAAUGUUCAUGGCAGUACAGAUUUGCUCUUCCUAAUGGCUGAUGUAAAUGACUCCCAUCUGUCAAGAUCUCAGAAGAUGUGGUAACUUCUCAGUGACAGCCCAGAUCCACCUUCCACAUUUCUCAUCUCUGGCUAAGGAAGCUGCAGGUCAGAUCAUCUGUUUAGUUGAUCACGAAGCACGUGAACUAUUUGAUUCCUUAGAACUACAGGUAAGUUUGGGGAGGUGAGUAGAAGAGCAGGAGGAGGGAUAAGCCCUCCAUAGACAACUCCCAAAUUGGUGGCAAGAAGUAAAGGGAAGGUCGACUCCUUUCCCUCCACUUCCUGAACUAGUCCCAAUAUGUGUGUGUCACAGCCACAUUGCCAUUAGCUAGCAAAAUCUGCACCCACAAAGAAUAGCUGUUCAAUAGGUAUUUAUUCACUGAUUGGCAGUGGGCUGUCUCCAUGCACUCCCAGGCCAUAGAGCAGGAGUGGACUGCCUACAGGAAAGCAAGA